AGUCACUGACAUUAGAUACCCGGGUAGUCCAGGGUGUAAACGCUGCAGACUUGGUGUUGGAAAUCCUUCGAGGGUAUUCAGUGCCGGGAGAAGUUGUUAAGUCUGCUACUUGGGAGUACGUCCGCAAGGAUGAAACUUAAAGGAAUUGGCGGGGAGCACCACAACGGGUGGAGCCUGCGGUUUAAUUGGACUCAACGCCGGAAAUCUCACCGGAUAGGACAGACAUAUGAUAGUCGGGCUGAAGACUCUACUUGAUGAUCUG
rnacentral:rRNA from 1 species